ACGGGUGAGUAAUGUCUGGGGAUCUGCCCGAUAGAGGGGGAUAACCACUGGAAACGGUGGCUAAUACCGCAUAACGUCGCAAGACCAAAGAGGGGGACCUUCGGGCCUCUCACUAUCGGAUGAACCCAGAUGGGAUUAGCUAGUAGGCGGGGUAAUGGCCCACCUAGGCGACGAUCCCUAGCUGGUCUGAGAGGAUGACCAGCCACACUGGAACUGAGACACGGUCCAGACUCCUACGGGAGGCAGCAGCGGGGAAUAUUGCACAAUGGGCGCAAGCCUGAUGCAGCCAUGCCGCGUGUAUGAAGAAGGCCUUCGGGUUGUAAAGUACUUUCAGCGGGGAGGAAGGCGACGGGGUUAAUAACCCUGUCGAUUGGCGUUACCCGCAGAAGAAGCACCGGCUAACUCCGUGCCAGCAGCCGCGGUAAUACGGAGGGUGCAAGCGUUAAUCGGAAUUACUGGGCGUAAAGCGCACGCAGGCGGUCUGUUAAGUCAGAUGUGAAAUCCCCGGGCUUAACCUGGGAACUGCAUUUGAAACUGGCAGGCUUGAGUCUUGUAGAGGGGGGUAGAAUUCCAGGUGUAGC
rnacentral:rRNA from 1 species